UUUAAUAUUAUGCGUGCGUGAUUAUCAAAUGCGCGCGCUCGAUUAAUGACCCUGAUUUGUCGCCAUAUUCCUUUGACCGCUCUCACGACGUUACUUGGAUAACUGUGGCAAUUCCAGAGCUAAUACAUGCAAACGAGCGCCUCCCCGCCGGCCUCUUCUCACUCGUGGGUCGGGGCCGGGCCGGGGUCGCGUGCAUUUAUCAGAUCCAAAACCCAACCGGGGCUCCGCGCGGGAGCGGGCGGCCCGCCGCUCGAGGCCCGCGCGCCCCCGGUCGACCUUUGGUGACUCAGGAUAACCUCGGGACGAUCGCCCGCCCUCCGAGGCGGCGACGACGCAUUCGAAUGUCUGCCCUAUCAACUUUCGAUGGCAGUGCAAGGGCCUUCCAUGGUGACCACGGGUAACGGGGAAUCAGGGUUCGAUUCCGGAGAGGGAGCCUGAGAAACGGCUACCACAUCCAAGGAAGGCAGCAGGCGCGCAAAUUACCCAUUCCCGACACGGGGAGGUAGUGACGAAAAAUAACGGUGCAGGUCUCUUUCGAGGCCCUGUAACCGGAAUGAGCGUAUCCUAAACCCAUGGGGCGAGGACCCAUCGGAGGGCAAGUCUGGUGCCAGCAGCCGCGGUAAUUCCAGCUCCGAUAGCGUAUAUUAAACUUGCUGCAGUUAAAAAGCUCGUAGUUGGAUCUCGGGGCCGGGCCGGCGGUCCGCCGCGAGGCGAGCCACCGCCGGUGACGUCCGGCCCCUGCCUCUCCCGGCGCCCCCCGGAUGCCCUUGGCUGGGUGUCCGGUCCCACGGGGCCCGGAGCGUUUACUUUGAGAAAAUUAGAGUGUUCAAAGCAGGCCGCCCGUCGCCACUGAAUACUGCAGCUAGGAAUGAUGGAAUAGGACUCCGGUUCUAUUUUGUGGGUUUCACGAACCCGGGGCCAUGAUUGAGAGGGACGGCCGGGGGCAUUCGUAUUGCGCCGCUAGAGGUGAAAUUCUUGGACCGGCGCAGAUACCGUCGUAGUUCCGACCGUAAACCGUGCCGACCCGCGAUCCGGCGGCGUCCUACCCAUGACCCGCCGGGCAGCGUGGAGGGAAACCAAGAGUCUUUGGGUUCCGGGGGGAGUAUGGUUGCAAAGCUGAAACUUAAAGGAAUUGACGGAAGGGCACCACCAGGAGUGGAGCCUGCGGCUUAAUUUGACUCAACACGGGAAAGCUCACCCGGCCCGGACACGGAAAGGAUUGACAGAUUGACGGCUCUUUCUCGAUUCUGUGGGUGGUGGUGCAUGGCCGUUCUUAGUUGGUGGAGCGAUUUGUCUGGUUCAUUCCGAUAACGAACGAGACUCCGGCCUGCUAAAUAGUUACGCGGCCCCGAGCGGCCGGCGUACCCAACUUCUUAGAGGGACAAGUGGCGCGGUAGCCACGCGAGAUGGAGCAAUAACAGGUCUGUGAUGCCCUUAGAUGUCCGGGGCUGCACGCGCGUCAGCGUGUGUCUGUCCCGCCCCGGGAUGGCUUAGUGAGGUCCCCGGAUCGGACCCGCUGGGGCCCCUCGCGGGCCUCGGCGGAGCGCCGAGAAGGCGAUCGAACUUGAUCAUCUAGAGGAAGUAAAAGUCGUAACAAGGUUUCCGUAGGUGAACCUGCGGAAGGAUCAUUACCG
rnacentral:rRNA from 1 species